rnacentral:rRNA from 1 species
AGGGCGUACGGCGGAUGCCUUGGCGAUAUCAGCCGAAGAAGGACGCGGUAAGCUGCGAUAAGCUACGGAGAGGUGCAAGCAACCUUUGACCCGUAGAUUUCCGAAUGGGGGAACCCGGCAGUGGUUAUGCACUGUCACCCAUACCUUUGAGUAUGAGGAGGGCACCUGGGGAACUGAAACAUCUAAUUACCCAGAGGAAGAGUAAUCAAACGAGAUUUUCUUAGUAGCGGCGAGCGAACGGGAAAGAGGCCAAACCGGAGCGGGCAACCGCACCGGGGUUGAGGACAGUCAUCAAGUGUAAAUGAGGUAGAAGAAUCGAGUUGGAAAGCUCAGCCGCAGAAGGUGAAAGCCCUGUAAUCGAAACCUUGCAUACAUGGGACUGUAUCCAGAGUACCACGAGACACGUGAAACCUUGUGGGAAGCAGGGGGGACCACCCUCCAAGCCAAAAUACUGAUAUCGACCGAUAGCGCAUAGUACCGUGAGGGAAAGGUGAAAAGAACCCCUGGCGGGGAGUGAAAGAGAACCUGAAACCGUAUGUCUACAAACAGUCGAAGUCUGUAUAUAUAUCAGGACGACGGCGUGCCUAUUGAAGAAUGAACCGACGAGUUACUGUUGCUAGCGAGGUUAAGUGGAAAACAUGGAGCCGCAGCGAAAGCGAGUCUGAACAGGGCGUUCAGUUAGUAAUAGUAGACCCGAAACCGUAGUGAUCUAUCCAUGGCCAGGUUGAAGCACAGGUAAAAUUGUGUGGAGGACCGAACUCGUGAGCGUUGAAAAGCUUUGGGAUGAGUUGUGGAUAGGGGUGAAAUGCCAAUCGAACACGGAGAUAGCUGGUUCUCCCCGAAAUAGCUUUAGGGCUAGCCUCGAGGUUGAGAGUAUAGGCGGUAGAGCACUGAUCGGGCUAGGGGCCAUACCGGUUACCGAACCUAGUCAAACUACGAAUGGCUAUACUUAUACUCGGGAGUCAGACAGUGAAUGAUAAGGUCCAUUGUCAAGAGGGAAACAGCCCAGAACACCGACUAAGGUCCCCAAUGUCAUACUAAGUGGCGAAGGAUGUGGAAUUUCCAAAACAACCAGGAUGUUGGCUUAGAAGCAGCCACCAUUUAAAGAGUGCGUAAUAGCUCACUGGUCGAGAGACGCUGCGCCGAAAAUGUCCGGGGCUAAAGUAUGAAACCGAAGUCGUGUCAUAUGCAGUAAUGUAUAUGGGUAGGGGAGCGUUCUCAUCGGAUUGAAGCAGUACCGUAAGGAGUUGUGGACUGGUGAGAAGUGAGAAUGUCGGUAUGAGUAGCGAAAAGAAUGGUGAGAAUCCAUUCCACCGAAAGCCUAAGGGUUCCUGAGCAACGAUCGUCGUCUCAGGGUAAGUCGGGACCUAAGCCGAGGCGGAAAAGCGUAGGCGAUGGACAACAGGUUGAAAUUCCUGUACCGGUGUGAAUCGUUUGAUCGAAGGAGUGACACAGUAAGGUAGGUCAGCACGCGAUUGGAAGUGCGUGUUUAAGCAUGUAGGUUGAGUUAUAGGCAAAUCCGUAGCUCUAAAAGCUGAGAUGUGAUGACGAGCUGUUUACAGCGAAGUGAUUGAUCCUACACUGUCGAGAAAAGCUUCUAGGUAGAGACACAUCGCCCGUACCAAAACCGACACAGGUAGGCGGGGAGAGAAUCCUAAGGUGCGCGGGAAAACCCUCGUUAAGGAACUCGGCAAAAUGCCUCCGUAACUUCGGGAAAAGGAGGACUCAUGUAGUGUGAAGGGCAGUAACGCGUGGAGCAUGAAUGAGUGGCACAAGAGAGGCGCAAGCGACUGUUUACCACAAACACAGGUGCCUGCUAAAGCGAAAGCUGAUGUAUAGGUGCUGACACCUGCCCGGUGCUGGAAGGUUAAGAGGAGGGGUUAGACUUCGGUCGAAGCUCUGAAUUGAAGCCCCAGUAAACGGCGGCCGUAACUAUAACGGUCCUAAGGUAGCGAAAUUCCUUGUCGGGUAAGUUCCGACCCGCACGAAAGGUGUAACGACUUGCGCACUGUCUCAACGAGGGACCCGGUGAAAUUGAAGUACCUGUGAAGAUGCAGGUUACCCGCGACUGGACAGAAAGACCCCAUGGAGCUUUACUGCAACCUAAGAUUGAACUUAGUUAAUGAAUGUACAGGAUAGGUGGGAGACUUAGAAUCUAGGGCGCCAGUCUUAGAGGAGUCGUUGUUGGGAUACCACCCUUUGAUUAAUUGAUUUCUAACAGGCCGAUUAACAAC